CGGGUGAGUAACGCGUAGGAAUCUACCCAGUAGCGGGGGAUAGCUUGGGGAAACUCAAAUUAAUACCGCAUACGUCCUACGGGAGAAAGCAGGGGAUCUUCGGACCUUGCGCUAUUGGAUGAGCACAAGUCAGAUUAGCUAGUUGGUGAGGUAAUGGCUCACCAAGGCGACGAUCUGUAGCUGGUCUGAGAGGAUGAUCAGCCACACUGGGACUGAGACACGGCCCAGACUCC
rnacentral:rRNA from 1 species